rnacentral:rRNA from 1 species
AGUGAACGCUGGCGGUAGGCCUAACACAUGCAAGUCGAACGGCAGCACAGUAAGAGCUUGCUCUUACGGGUGGCGAGUGGCGGACGGGUGAGGAAUACAUCGGAAUCUACUUUUUCGUGGGGGAUAACGUAGGGAAACUUACGCUAAUACCGCAUACGACCUACGGGUGAAAGCAGGGGAUCUUCGGACCUUGCGCGAUUGAAUGAGCCGAUGUCGGAUUAGCUAGUUGGCGGGGUAAAGGCCCACCAAGGCGACGAUCCGUAGCUGGUCUGAGAGGAUGAUCAGCCACACUGGAACUGAGACACGGUCCAGACUCCUACGGGAGGCAGCAGUGGGGAAUAUUGGACAAUGGGAGCAAGCCUGAUCCAGCCAUACCGCGUGGGUGAAGAAGGCCUUCGGGUUGUAAAGCUCUUUUGUUGGGAAAGAAAAGCAGCAGGUUAAUACCCCGCUGUUCUGACGGUACCCAAAGAAUAAGCACCGGCUAACUUCGUG